AAGCGUUAUCCGGAAUCAUUGGGUUUAAAGGGUCCGUAGGCGGAUAGAUAAGUCAGAGGUGAAAUCCUGCAGCUCAACUGUAGAAUUGCCUUUGAAACUGUUUAUCUUGAGUUAUUGUGAAGUGGUUAGAAUAUGUAGUGUAGCGGUGAAAUGCUUAGAGAUUACAUGGAAUACCGAUUGCGAAGGCAGAUCACUAACAAUAUACUGACGCUGAUGGACGAAAGCGUGGGGAGCGAACGGGAUUAGAUACCCCGGUAGUCCACGCCGUAAACGAUGGAUACUAGCUGUUCGACCUUCGGGUUGAGUGGCUAAGCGAAAGUGAUAAGUAUCCCACCUGGGGAGUACGUUCGCAAGAAUGAAACUCAAAGGAAUUGACGGGGGCCCGCACAAGCGGUGGAGCAUGUGGUUUAAUUCGAUGAUACGCGAGGAACCUUACCAGGGCUUAAAUGUAGAUUGCAUAGAGUAGAGAUAUUCUUUUCUUCGGACUAUUUACAAGGUGCUGCAUGGUU
rnacentral:rRNA from 1 species